UACGUAGGGUGCGAGCGUUAAUCGGAAUUACUGGGCGUAAAGCGUGCGCAGGCGGUUCGUUGUGUCGGUGGUGAAAUCCCCGGGCUUAACCUGGGAAUGGCCAUGGAAACUGGCGAACUGGAGUGUGGCAGAAGGGGGUGGAAUUCCGCGUGUAGCAGUGAAAUGCGUAGAGAUGCGGAGGAACACCGAUGGCGAAGGCAGCCCCCUGGGCUAACACUGACGCUCAGGCACGAAAGCGUGGGGAGCAAACAGG
rnacentral:rRNA from 1 species